rnacentral:rRNA from 1 species
GGCGGAUCGAGGCCUAAGACUGACGCAGCAACGCCGCGUGAGUGAUGAAGGUUUUCGGAUCGUAAAGCUCUGUCAGAGGGGAAGAAACUCCCGGGUGUAAAUAACACUUGGGCCUGACGGUACCCUCAAAGGAAGCACCGGCUAACUCCGUGCCAGCAGCCGCGGUAAUACGGAGGGUGCAAGCGUUGUUCGGAAUUAUUGGGCGUAAAGCGCGUGUAGGCGGUUGUUUAAGUCUGAUGUGAAAGCCCUGGGCUCAACCCGGGAAGUGCAUUGGAAACUGGGCAACUUGAGUACGGGAGAGGGUAGUGGAAUUCCGAGUGUAGGGGUGAAAUCCGUAGAUAUUCGGAGGAACACCGGUGGCGAAGGCGGCUACCUGGACCGAUACUGACGCUGAGACGCGAAAGCGUGGGGAGCAAACAGGAUUAGAUACCCUGGUAGUCCACGCCGUAAACGAU